ACAGUGGUUCGACUCCACUUAUUCUAAUGCUUUAUAAAUAAUACUUUUCAUAUUAUAAAUAGAAAUAACAAUACUACAAAACUUGAGAAAAUAAAACAAUAAUAGCUUAACCGCAAGGGUAUARUAUAAACAAAUAAACAGUAAAAAUAAACCCUUAUACCUUGUGCAUCAUGGUUCAGCAAACUUAAAACCUACAGGCUCUACCCCGAAAACUCCGGAGCUGUAUUUAUAGUGCUAGGAGCAAAAUUAUAUAUGUUGCAAUAUAUUAGUAACAUCUAAAUACAGUGGCUACAUACCUAUCGCAGGAGCAGAUAGCUGGUUCUCUUAAACCCUAUAAAAGUAGGACAAUAGGUUUAAACCAAACUUAUAUGUUAUUUAAUAAAGGCCAAGCUUUAUUAUACCCCAAAUCUACAAACAAAAUAUAAAAAAUAUGUAGGGUUUACAGCACCCACCACUAUACUGCAUAACUGCACCUAUAUAGAAGACUAUAAUUUAAAUAUAACUUUUUAAAAGAUGGGCUUAAUAACUGAGAACGUGUUAAAACAUAUAACACAACUAUUCUGCUGAAAUAAGUAUUACCUACCCCAAAUAUUUUUAAAACUCUAAUAAACAUUUAAAAAUAAACACUUUAUAAUAUUAAUUAUUUAGAAAGAACUCAGCAAAUACUAACUUCGACUGUUUAACAAAAACAUAGCCUCCUGAUUUAUAAUAGGAAGUGAAGCCUGCCCAGUGACCCACGGGUUAAACGGCCGCGGUACCCUGACCGUGCUAAGGUAGCAUAUAAUAUACCCUUUAAUUGUGGGAUGGUAUGAAAGGACAAACGAAAGUUAAACUGUUUCCUAAAUAUAUAUAAAAACUAUUCCUCAGGUGAAGAAACCUGAAUACUAUUAAAAGACAAGAAGACCCUGUAGAGCUUUACCUAAACAACCAUAGAGAAAAAGCCAUAGUAUUUUUCUCUAUGCCACACAUAUGGUUUAACUGGGGCGGUUAGAGAACAAUAAACUUCUACCUAAAAAAUAAGGUAAACACACCAAUUAAAUAAAUAAAUUCAAAUUUAAAGAAAUAAGCUACCUCAGGGAUAACAGACUAAUCCUUCCUGAGAGUACCUAUUGAAGGAAGGGGUUGGCACCUCGAUGUUGGCUUAGGGCAUCCCAGGGGUAGUAGCAGCCCCUAAAGGUAGGUUUGUUCAACCUUUAAAGCCCUACAUGAGCUGAGUUCAGACCGGCGUAAGCUAGGUCAGCUUCUAUCUUUAAUCAAAUAAUCUCUCAAUUGUACGAAAGGACCUUGAAGAAAAAAGAAAUACUUUACUAUAUAGCACAAACAUAAAAUCUCGUUUACUCUCUAAAUUUUAACACUAAAGGGU
rnacentral:rRNA from 1 species